rnacentral:lncRNA from 1 species
GGGCAGGGCCAGGAGCAGUCCUGUUUAAUUCCAGUUCCUUUAUCUGCCAUAAUGUAUUUGUUUCCCUUAGGUUCACAGCUGGGGUGAAGGGUCCAGGGUGGUUCGAGAGCUGCCUCGUGUCUGCAGAGAGACUUAAGGCAGAAGCCCAGGCUCGGGCUGGUUCCCAGAGGCUCCUGGGGGCACCGGAGGGGGAGGCUUUGCAGGAGAAAGUGGCCCAGCCCAGCCCGGGGGCGGGCAGCCUGCAGAGGGCGGUCAGGUGGUGGCCCAUCUUCCUGGUGAGUUUCACCUGCUCCCCAGGCAGCAGCUCCACGGGAAGUCAGGGAGGUGGGCGUGUGCAUUGGGGAGAACCCAGGGCCUUCAGGUCCAGAGGGCCCAGUCCAGGUCUUCUCCAGCAACUCAGCAGCUUCCAUGGCCUCCUGGGUUUUCGCCCCUGCUCCUGAGGCGGCUUCUGCUCGUCCUGGAAGAGGCUGCAGCCCCCUCUGCACCUCUGCAUUUUCCGGAGAGCUCGGCACCCUCGUGAUUCUGCUCAGCAAUUCAUGGGAGAAUUUUCCACACCCUCCUGAGCUGCGUCGUCACAGUGGACAAAGAAGGCCAGCGAGAGGCAGAGAAGGACAGAGGACAGCGAGACAGGAACAGGUGAACAUCUAGUCGCCUUGUGAUUGCGUGAGUGUGGGGACCUUUAGCAGGACAGACCCAGACGGACAGAGGUGAGCACAGGUACGGUGAGGGGCUGGCAUUGUGGACCAGGGAGAGGGGAGCUGUGCCAAGGGCUGGAGCCAUCAGGGCUCUUGCCCCCCAUCCCACAGGGUCUGGGGCCCCCUGUAAAUGUUCCUGGAGUCUGUCCUUCAGGCCACAGCCUUGAGGAAGGUGUGGACACGUGGCUGUUGGGACGGGAGGGCAGCAGGAUGUGGGAAUACAGAGUGAGACGGCUCCAGCAUCAGUCUGACCACGAAGUGAUGCCUGGAUCAGUACCUGAGUGGUGCGUGUGCAUUUCUCAGGAAACCCUUAAAUGAAUCCUACAACAAGCA